rnacentral:sRNA from 1 species
GCCUCGACGAUCUGCGACGGCGAGAUCAGGUGCACGUGGGUGUCGAUGCCGCCCGCGGUGAGGAUCUUGCCCUCGCCGGAGAUGAUGUCGGUGGACGGCCCGAUCUGCAGGUCCGGGUGCACCCCGUCGGCGAUGUCCGGGUUGCCGGCCCGGCCGAUGGCCACGAUCCGGCCGUCCCGGAUGCCGACGUCGGCCCGGACGAUGCCCCAGUGGUCCAGGAUGAUCGCGUUGGUGAUGACCGUGUCCGGGGCACCCUGCGCCCGGGUGGUGCUGCCCUGGGCCAUGGAUUCCCGGAU